UCUCUGGUAGCUCAGACGGUAAAGCGUCUGCCUGCAAUGCGGGAGACCUGGGUUCGAUCCCCAGGUUGGGAA
rnacentral:tRNA from 1 species